GCCGAUAAUGGACUAAACCUGUGAAACUGUUUCUCUGUGGUGUUUGGAACCCAGUUGCCCCAACAAUGACCUGCUCGCAACCUAAACCAAAGGAGAUCUAUAGUCUUCUCUUGAAUUCCUUCCUGGUCACAGGAAGGAGGUAGAAGAUGGCUGUCUGUGUGGGAACUUUCCAGGGUCUCCUUGGCUUCAGCCCACCUCCAGCCACUGUCAAUAUACCUACCCUACUUUGCCACAUCAGAAAGCAGCAGCGCCAUGAAGGAUUCCUGGUAUCUCAUUUGAUCGAGGCCAUGAAAUUUCUAACCCUAACUGCAUCAGGCGACUCAAUUGUCAGCAGGGAAAGGCAAGAGGAAACGGUUAAAUCUUAAUUUCUGACCUCCUUAAAAACCAAAAACUAAAAUGCAACGCAAGACGUUAACAGAGGGGAAACUCCACGAGCUCUUUCUGAUUGGUACAAAGCACGGGACCAACCUUCGUGAAUACCACACCCAGCAGGAUGUUUAGCAGUCAAAGGAUAAGCACACCAGCUCCUGCAAUUGCUAUUCAUCUGAGCCUCUCUUGUUCUACCACUCAUAGCAUCCGACUGAAAGCGAAAGUGUAAAUGUGUCGGGGGUUGGU